CGCGCCCAAAAAAAGUUCAGUUGACCGAUAGACUUUGACAAAGACAGACGCGUUUUUUAAGUUCUCUGAAAAAAAGUUUUGACUUUUAAAUUUUUUUACUAUGAAAGAAUUUUAGUUGACUGAUAGACUUUGACGAAGACAGACCUGUUUUUGUGAGCUCUGAAAAAAAAUUGACUUUGAAAUAUUUUUUACUAUGAAAAAGAUUUGAGUAUUACUGACUUGUACUUUGAGAGUUAAAUUGACUUCGCGUUAUAGAAUAUGACUUGGUACUCGGGUUAUUGAAUGACUGGCGGACUUUAGUGUUAGGUUAUUGUUAUGAGAUGACGACUUGACUUUGACUUGAGUUGUGUGCAAUUAAAUUUGUGUUGUGGUGUGAAUCGAUUGACUGUCAGUUGAAGUUCAGAUGUCGUGCUGUGUGGAUGGGUUUCUACAAAACGUGAGUACAAACUUUUGUGUUUGACUGUUGACGUGUCUCACUGUGUAUGAUGAUUUAUGAUGAUUUUAAGCGGCUGGCGUAUUAUUGCUGAGUUGUUGUACUGAUAGAGAAGUGAAAUGAGUUGGGUAUAAAUUACUCAGUACUGAUAUAGUGUCGAUAUGUUGUGAUGAGAGAUGAUGGUGUUACAAAAUAUUUACUGAGCUACUUUGGGAAACGAACAGAUGAUGUAAAAACAUUGGAAACAUAUUUCAUGAAAAUGCAUGUGCUUAUAUGUACUAAAUAUGAUAUUGCUUUACUUGUAUUUGCAUGCUGUUAACAUUUCUAUUUUAUUCCAGUGGGCUGUGGUGAGUAUUGCAGAUUUAACUUGUAUGUGUGGUUUUUAGUUAACGAUGCUUAAUGAAAACUGUUAUUGUACACUUAGUAUGGAAUGAUGUGAAUGAUGAUAUGAUGGGUAGAAUUAAUCAGUGCUUGUGUCUAGAAAUGCUGAAUGUUUAUUGAAAAGGCUAAAUGCUAGCCAGUACUAAGAGUUGAGCUACCGUGGGAAUGUGAAACGAACUGAUGGUGUAAUAUGAUGGUGUAUUGACAUACUUUUCUUAUAUGUACUAAAUAUGAUAUUGCUUUACUUGUAUUUGCAUGCUGUUAACAUUUCUAUUUUGUUCCAGUGUGCUGUGGUGAGUACUGUAGAUAUUACUUGAUUUUUAGUGUCUAUGAAUGCUGAUGUAUGGUAGCUAUAGCAUGAGCUCAAUGCUAACCAGUAUUAUGAGUUGAUGUAUUGUGGUGAUGCUAAUCGAACUGAUGAUGUAACAUGAUGGUGAACACUUACUGAAUGCAUAAAAUUUAUUGAAUUGCGUUUGUUGAUAUGCACUAUAAUAUGAUAAAUGUAUUGCUUAACAUGUAUAUUUCAUGAUGUUUAAUUUCAGUGGGCUGUGGUGAGUACUGUAGAUUGUAUUGCCUAUGUAUAGAAUUCAAUAAAAGAUUAUGACUGAAAACUGCUUUUGAUUCUUUUUGAACAGUUUUAGGGACUAUAAGUCUAUAACAAAAAUAUGUCGGUUGGCGUUCAUACAGCAAUGUUUUGAGUAGUACAGAAAUGUUUCUACGUUUGUGGUCGCCAGUUGUCUGUGAUGUGUAAAGUGAAAAAUACACGGAGCUUUGAAUACAACAAACAUUUACUGUUUUAACACAGAUUGUGUGCUAUGCAUUUUUCGAUGUAGAUCUUUUUCAGAUUUGACAUGAAAUGUAGACCUGACAUUUGAACAGAGCUGGGAAACGAAAAGGUAAGUUUGUUAAAUUUCACAAUGAACACUUGUGUUUUGACAAAAGAAGAGAUAAAGUGAGUUUUGUCAUCAUCAUGGUUUCUUUCAGAGUAUAACUCGUGAACAGAUGAAAACCUAUUUUUUGCUAGAUUUUCAUGUACUCUUUUUUUGGAUGAUAAGUAUGUCAGUAACUCAAAAUCAUACGGCUAGUACAGUAUGGAACAUGAAUGCUUUGUUCAGAUUUUCAGAUGUGUGCUGGCAGUUUAAGUCUGGCAGCUGAAGUGAACAGUCGUGUUUUCUGGAGCUCCAACAAUAUGCUAGAAGGUAAGUAACUAUGUUUGUUUUGCAUUGCAUGUUUUUAUAUGUUUCAGACUUUCAAGCAGAGAUGUCAUGCUGACUGGAGUUGAGCACAGGGCAGUGACAAAGUGAAAGGUAAGUACUUUUGACUGAAUGUUUGUUCUAUGCAUGUUUUGUUUCAAUACAUUUCAGGAGUGCUUAUCCAGUGAUGAUAUGACAGUUGGAGUGAACAGUGGAGCCAAGCAGUCUUGUUUUUGGAGCUACUCAACAAGCCUUGAAGAUGCUGAUGGCAGUGAUGGGUUUUCAAGCUGACCUGAACAGAAAAGCACUCAUAUGGUAAGUACAAAAUAGUUGUUAUAUGGGAUGUUUUGUGCAUGCUUUUAUGUUUCAGGUGUACUUGCUGACAGCGACGAAGACGAAUCAAGAAGAGGAACAUUGUUGAGAAAGUGAUUGGGACUUGCAAACAGGGUAAGUGUAACACUUGUGUUUGUUUAAUUUGUAACAUGCGUGCUUUGCUCUGUUUCAGAUUUCACAUGCAGAAAUUAAACAGGAUUUCAACUGCUGAGACACAAUUCAUCAAAAGUAAGGUAAGUUUUAAUUCAUUGAUUUGAGUUGUACAAUGUGUUCUUUACUUUAUUUCAGAUUCGAGUCACUGGUUUACACAUGGAAGAAGAUUUCCACGUCUGUUACUCAACUCUACAGAAGCAAGAUGUUUUGUUUCAGUUGAUGUCCAGAUGGCAAGCAGUACAGACGUGUUUCUUGGAGCUGCCAAACAGUGAGUACAAACGUUUUAUAUUUUUCAGUUGUUUACUCAUAGAAGUCUGUGAAAGAUGAUAACAAGGGUUGAAUCUAUCAGCACUUGUGUCUAAAAAUGCUGAUGUGUGAUGGUUUACUGAAAGGGGUAAAUGCUAGCCAGUACUUACACUUGAGCAACCGUGGGAUGUCGAACUAACUGAUGAUGUACUAUGAUGGUGAACACUUACUUUGUGUAUCGAAAUGCUUUUGUUGAUAUUUACUAAAUAUUGAUUGACAUUUGUUUGCAUGCUGUUAACAUUUCUAUUUCAUUUCAGUUGGCUGUGGUGAGUAUUGUAGUAUACAUUUGUUUCAAUAAAUCAUGAUGAAUGAACACUGAUUUCGAUUCUUUUUUACAGUUUUAGGGAUUAUCACUCUAUAACAACUCUGUCGGUUGGUGUUCGUGAAUGUGAGCUUAAUGUUUGAGUAGUACAAAAAUGUCUUUACUUUUGUGAUCGCCAGUUGUCUGUGAUGUAAAGUGGAAAAAACACAGCUAUGAAGCAUACAAUUGUUUCAAUAUUUUAUCAAUGAUAGUGUGCUAUGCAUGUUUUGAUUUAGUUCGUUUCAGAUACGACAUGACAUGAAGAGUUGACAGUCGAACAGAGCUGAGCAAAGCAGAAAGGUAAGUGUGUUUCAUUUUAGUAUGGACACUUGUAUUUUGUUUUUAUAUGGUAUGUUUUGUGCAUGCUAUGUUUCAGGUGUACUUGUAGUCAGCGACGAAGACGAUUCAAGAAGAGGAACAUUGCUGAGAAAGUGAAUGGGACUUGCAAACAGGGUAAGUGUUACAAUUGUUUGUUUGAUUUUUACCAUGCAUACUUUGCUUUGCUCUGUUUCAGAUUUCACAUGCAGAAAUGGUCUCAUAGCAGUGCCAACAGUGAAUAAGGAUUUCAUCUGCUGUGAAACAACUCAACAGAAAGUAGGUAAGCAUUGAAUGAAUGCACUUGAGUUGUACAAUUUGAUGUGAUGCUUUUCUCUGUUUCAGAUUCAAGUUCCUGGUGUAGACAGAGAAAUGUGUUUGAAGAAGGAAUUCUACUACUGUGAUUCAACUCUACAGAAGCAAGGUAAGUAGAAACACAAUUUUGGUUUAAUUUAACUCAUGUGUUUUGCACUGCAUGCUAUUUUUCAGGUCUCUCAUGCAGUGAUGGAAAAGAAGAAGAUUUCAAGAAAGAAUCACUGCUGCAACUCAGGCCUAUAACAAGGUAAGUGUUUACUAUAUUGUAUACAAAAUGUUUCUCUGUUUUACUCUGUUUGAAGGUUUCAAUUGCAGAGAUGUUGCAGAGAUGUUUUGACAGCUUGUGACAGAAAAGAAAUUCAGCAGCUGUGUAUCGACUGUAGCCACGAGGUAAGUCGAAACAAAUAUACUGGUUUGUAUGUUAUGUUGUUAUGUCCUUCUAUGUUUCAGACUUACAUUGCUGUGACUGUUCCACAGUGGGUCAAAAAAGAGACGAAUACAGGUUUCAAGAAGAAAAUUGGCUGUUGAAAACCUGCACAAAAUAUGAGGUAAGUAAACUAUUCUUUUGGUUUGUUUUGUGCUUUGUUAUGCUUAACUAUUUUUCAGAUUGGAGUGGUGGGUCGUUACAGAGCAGACUUUUGGACAACUGAGAAGUUAAACAACAGAAAAUGAUUCAAGAUCAGCUAGGUAAGUCUGGAUUAUUAUGCAUUGCUAAAUGUUUUUUUUAUUCCAGUAUGGCUGUGGUAAGUACACAAACUUUCUAUAAUUUAAUAUUGAACUGUUUUUAUGACCUGUAUUCUGCAUUGUAAAAUGUCUGUUUUUCAUUUCAGUAUCCUGUGGUAAGUACAAUUGCCUUCUUUAAUUUUCAUAUUGAACUGUUUUGAUGACUUGUAUACUACUAUGCAAUGCUUAAUGUUUUUUUCAUUUCAGUAGCCUGUUGGUAAGUACACUAACUUUCUAUAAUUUCAUAGUGAAUUGUUUUGAUGACCUGUAUUCUGCAUUGUAAAAUGUGUUUCUUUUUCAUUUCAGUAUGGCUGUGGUAAGUACAAUUGCCUUUCAUAUUGAACUGUUUUGAUGACCUGUAUUUUGCAUUGUAAAAUGUGUUUCUUUUUCAUUUCAGUAUGGCUGUGGUAAGUACACAAACUUUCUUUAAUUUUCAUAUUGAACUGUUUUGAUGACUUGUAUUCUGCUAUACAAAAUGUGCUUUUUUCAAUUUCAGGUCAGCAAUGGUAAGUAUAGUGUGUUUUUUUAUGUAUAAUUUUGUAUACAUAUUGUUUUUUUCAUCAUAGCAUGUUUUUUAUAUUUAUGCUUUGUGUAAGUAAAAUGUUCAUAAAUCAUUCUUAUCUUUAAACUAAAAAUGUAUUUUGAUAUGCAAAAUGUCUGUAUGAUUUCAGUUGCCAGAGGUGAGUACCAUAACAGUUGAAAAGUUAGUUUUGUUUAGUUCAAGUUUUGGUUCACAGUUUUGUUUGUUAUUUGGCAAAAUUUACAUGUAUGCAUUGAGUCUUGAUUUCAGCUCGAUUGUGGACUGAAGAAGAUUGCCAGCAGAGGGAUUGGAUACAAAAUACAAACCCUACUACAAGACGAGUGUUUUCUACUACUAGACGUGUCAGGUUUACUUCCAGGCGAGCAGUGACAACAAGGCGCCUUUGUGGAAACAUCAAAACAAACAACUCUACUGCAAGACGAGCAGUAACAGCAAGGCGCCUGAACAUGCAACACAAUAAAAAAAAUGCCAAUUUGCAAACCUUGAUGUGGACACCGAGUAGUCAAUACAUACGUGUGGCGUAUAGCUGCGACAAAACCGUGGGUCCAUCGCACCGAUAACUUGAACAUUGGCCCGUGUAUGGACAUCAGUGCAACUUUGUGAAUCCAUGUAUCUUUGUGAAUCCAUGUAACAUUGCGAAUGUGUGUCGAUCGAAAAAUGUGUACAUUCUGAACUGAAACGAACUCGGUGUUGCAAGUGGCAAGUGUUGACAGUGUGUAUGUUUAUGUUUAUGUUUUUACAUGAAAACUAAAGGAGAUUGUUCUCCUACCUUUUUUUUCCUUGUUUUAUUGCGCUGGCCAGCAAUAUUGAUGUAUUGAUGUAUGUGUUUGUGUUUAAACUAUGCAAUACCAAAAUCAAACAAAAAAUAAACAUUAACAGUCAUUAACUGUGUUUGGGCGGCCGAGGGGUUUAAGACUCCACAAGUGUGAAGCGCACUGAUAGCACUUGGGGGUGAACACCUCGGUAUUUCGGUGCUAAAAUGUUUUCACGGUGCUUAUCUUGACGCACUGUUAAGACUACCAACCAGUUAAUGAUUGCUUCAUCUUUAAACAAAAAGUAAGUCUCUACUUUGGCACAAGAGACUCCAAGUACCAAAUACCAACAAUUAAAAAGCAGACGUUUUUCAAAACUAUGAUCGCUGAGAUUGAUAGUCAGAUGGAGUCCUGCCCAGUUAGCUGUGUAGCGGUCUAGGGCGGGG